AAUCAACGCUGGCGGCGUGCCUAACACAUGCAAGUCGAACGCGAAAGCCCCGCAAGGGGUAAGUAGAGUGGCAAACGGGUGAGUAACACGUGGGUGAUCUGCCUCAGAGUGGGGGAUAAC
rnacentral:rRNA from 1 species